AUACUCGGGUAAUCGCUGUAUGAUUUUCAUACAGAGGAAAGUCCAUGCUCGCACAGUCUGAGAUGACUGUAGUGUUCGUGCCUGACGAAACCAUAAGUCAGGGUAGCUUAUGUAAAGCUAACGGCAAGGAAAAUUCCUAAGUCUGUUAAGAUAAGGAAUGAAUACUUUGAAAGUGCCACAGUGACGAAGCCAAAAUAGAAAUAUUUUGGGUGGAACGAGGUAAACCCCGCGAGUGAGCAACCCAAAUAUAGGUAGGGGCACUCUCUUAAUGGAAAAUGAACCAACGGAGAGGCCGGCAUAUAGUCGGCAGAUAGAUGAUUGCCACCGGAGUACGAGGUUGACCGCCGUUUGCAGUACAAUGGAACAGAACAUGGCUUACAGAG
rfam:Halobacillus halophilus DSM 2266 complete genome